AGUAACACGUGGGUAACCUGCCCAUCAGAAGGGGAUAACACUUGGAAACAGGUGCUAAUACCGUAUAACAAUCGAAACCGCAUGGUUUUGAUUUGAAAGGCGCUUUCGGGUGUCGCUGAUGGAUGGACCCGCGGUGCAUUAGCUAGUUGGUGAGGUAACGGCUCACCAAGGCCACGAUGCAUAGCCGACCUGAGAGGGUGAUCGGCCACAUUGGGACUGAGACACGGCCCAAACUCCUACGGGAGGCAGCAGUAGGGAAUCUUCGGCAAUGGACGAAAGUCUGAACGAGCAACGCCGCGUGAGUGAAGAAGGUUUUCGGAUCGUAAAACUCUGUUGUUAGAGAAGAACAAGGAUGAGAGUAACUGUUCAUCCCUUGACGGUAUCUAACCAGAAAGCCACGGCUAACUACGUGCCAGCAGCCGCGGUAAUACGUAGGUGGCAAGCGUUGUCCGGAUUUAUUGGGCGUAAAGCGAGCGCAGGCGGUUUCUUAAGUCUGAUGUGAAAGCCCCCGGCUCAACCGGGGAG
rnacentral:rRNA from 1 species